GCCUGGGUAGCUCAGUCAAUUAAGCGUCUGACUUCAGCUCAGGUCAUGAUCCCCUGGUUCGUGGGUUCAAGCCCCGCAUCAGGCU
rfam:Felis catus isolate Cinnamon breed Abyssinian chromosome B2, whole genome shotgun sequence.